AUGUCGACGGCCGCGGAUUACAACAUGUCCGUUGGGUACUCGCCCAACGGCAUAGUGGUGCCGCCAUGGCUGAACAAGGGCGACAACGCAUGGCAGAUGAUCGCUGCGACGCUGGUGGGACUUCAGAGUAUGCCCGGCCUGGUGAUCCUCUACGGCAGCAUCGUGAAGAAGAAGUGGGCCGUGAACUCGGCCUUCAUGGCGCUCUACGCCUUCGCCGCCGUGUGGCUCUGCUGGGUCACCUGGGGCUACAACAUGUCCUUCGGCCACCAGCUGCUCCCCUUCUGGGGCAAGGCGCGGCCGGCGCUCGGGCAGAAGUUCCUCCUCAUGCAGGCCGUGCUGCCGGAGUCCACCCACUUCUUCAAGGACGGCAGCCAAGAGACGGCCUGGAUCAAUCCGAAUUACCCCAUGGCCACCAUGGUCUACUUCCAGUGCGUCUUCGCCGCCAUCACGCUCAUCCUCCUCGCCGGCUCGCUGCUGGGCCGCAUGAACAUCAGGGCCUGGAUGAUCUUCGUGCCGCUCUGGCUCACCUUCUCCUACACCAUCGGCGCCUUCUCGCUCUGGGGCGGAGGCUUCCUCUUCCAGUGGGGCGUCAUGGACUACUCCGGCGGCUACGUCAUCCACCUCUCCUCCGGGAUCGCCGGGUUCACCGCCGCGUACUGGGUCGGGCCCAGGUCCACCAAGGACAGGGAGAGGUUCCCGCCCAACAACGUGCUCCUCAUGCUCGCCGGCGCCGGCAUACUCUGGAUGGGGUGGGCCGGGUUCAACGGCGGUGACCCUUACGCCGCCAACCUCGACUCCUCCAUCGCAGUGCUCAACACCAACAUCUGCGCCGCGACCAGCCUACUCGUCUGGACCUCCCUGGACGUCAUCUUCUUCAAGAAGCCCUCCGUGAUCGGCGCCGUCCAGGGCAUGAUCACCGGCCUCGUCUGCAUCACGCCCGGCGCGGGUCUGGUCCAGGGGUGGGCGGCGAUCGUGAUGGGGGUCCUCUCCGGCAGCAUCCCGUGGUUCACCAUGAUGGUCGUGCACAAGCGGUCCAAGCUGCUGCAGCGCGUGGACGACACGCUGGGCGUGUUCCACACCCACGCCGUGGCGGGGUUCCUCGGCGGCGUGACCACGGGGCUCUUCGCGGAGCCGACGCUGUGCAGCAUGUUCGUGCCGGUGACCAACUCGCGCGGCGCCUUCUACGGCGGCAGCAGCGGCGGCAUGCAGCUCCUGAAGCAGGUGGUGGGCGCGCUCUUCAUCGUCGGAUGGAACGUGGUGGUCACCAGCAUCAUCUGCCUCGUCGUCCGGCUUAUCGUGCCGCUGCGGAUGCCGGAGGAGGAGCUCGUGAUCGGCGACGACGCGGUGCACGGCGAGGAGGCCUACGCGCUCUGGGGCGACGGCGAGAAGUACGACUCGUCCAAGCACGGGUGGUACUCCGACAACGAGACCAACCAGCCGCGCAACAGGGCGCCCAGCGGCGUCACCCAGGACGUCUAG
rnacentral:rRNA from 1 species